CUCCCCGUGUCUGCGUGGGUUUCCUCCGGGUGCUCCGGUUUCCCCCACAGUCCAAAGACAUGCAGGUUAGGUUAACUGGUGACUCUAAAUUGACUGUAGGUGUGAAUGUGAGUGUGAAUGGUUGUCUGUGUCUAUGUGUCAGCCCUGUAAUGACCUGGCGACUUGUCCAGGGUGUACCCCGCCUUUCGCCCGUAGUCAGCUGGGAUAGGCUCCAGCUUGCCUGCGACCCUGUAGAACAGGAUAAAGCGGCUAGAGAUAAUGAGAUGAGAUAUUUCAAUGUUUAGUCUUGUAUGAAGGGCAGCACGGUGGUGUAGUGGUUAGCACUGUUGUCUCACAGCAAGAAGUUCCUGAGUUCGAGCCCAGUGGCCGGUGAGGAUCCUUCUGUGUGGAGUUUGCACGUUCUCCCUGUGUCUGUGUGGGUUUCCUCCGGGUGCUUUGGUUUCUCCACAGACCAAAGACAUGCAGGUUAGGAUAAUUGGUGGCUUUAAAUUGACUGUAGGUGUGAGUGUGAAUGAAUGAUUGUCUCUCUGUGUCAGCCCUGCGAUGACCUAGUGACUUGUCCAGGAUGUACCCUGCCUCUCGCCCAUAGUCAGCUGGAAUAGGCUCCAGCUCACCUGCGACCUCACCCUGUAGAACAGGAUAAGCAGCUACAGAUGGAUUAUUCUGUAAACCUCGUCUGUAAUGUUGCAGGAGCUCUGGUCCUCUACCAGAGUCCUGGGAGUUUGAGGGAUCUCUGUAGAACCUUCACUGUUCCUCAGACUGCACGCUUCUGGACAGAGUUCUUGGAUGUUGUAUUUGGAAUCUGCUGGAGCUCCUCUCUCUCCCAGUUUGGAGGUCACAGCCCCUAAUGCUCCUAUCAUCACUGGGACCACUUUGGACUUUACCUUCUACAUCUGUUCCAGUUGUUUUUUCAGUCCCUGGUAAUACACAUCUGUCACAACUAUACUCUUCUGCUCCUUGUCUACCACCACUAUGUCUGAUUGGUUAGCCAACACCUGCUUGUCAGUCUGGAACUUGAAGUCCCACAGGAUCUUAGCUCUGUUGUUUCUCAGUCACUUUUGGUGGUAUGUCUCACUGGGACUUGGGGAUGUCUAGGUCAUACUCGGGACAGAUGUUCCUGCAUGCAAUCCCAGACACUUGGUUCUUGAUUGAAAAGUAAUAUAUGGUAUACAUUCGAAGGGUGCCAAUAAUAGUAGCACAAGUUUCUGUUGAAAAUAAUGACUUCUUGAUGAGGGAUUUGUUUUUCUCUGAAUAAACUUUUCAGUUAAA